rnacentral:rRNA from 1 species
AUCCUACGGGAGGCAGCAGUGGGGAAUAUUGCACAAUGGGCGCAAGCCUGAUGCAGCCAUGCCGCGUGUAUGAAGAAGGCCUUCGGGUUGUAAAGUACUUUCAGCAGUGAGGAAGUGGGUAUGUAAUAGCAUAUUCAUUUGACGUUAGCUGCAGAAGAAGCACCGGCUAACUCCGUGCCAGCAGCCGCGGUAAUACGGAGGGUGCGAGCGUUAAUCGGAAUUACUGGGCGUAAAGCGCAUGCAGGUGGUUUGUUAAGUCAGAUGUGAAAGCCCGGGGCUCAACCUCGGAAUUGCAUUUGAAACUGGCAAACUAGAGUACUGUAGAGGGGGUAGAAUUUCAGGUGUAGCGGUGAAAUGCGUAGAGAUCUGAAGGAAUACCGGUGGCGAAGGCGGCCCCCUGGACAGAUACUGACACUCAGAUGCGAAAGCGUGGGGAGCAAACAGGAUUAGAUACCCUGGUAG